ensembl:lncRNA
GUGCUUCAUGUGCUUUUGAGGCAGAAUGAGGAGUUUGUGUCUCCCCAUUCCCAGAGCUGCCCGGACAGCAGGGUGAAUUCGUGCAUUGCUUUUGGCUGAAUGCUCUCUGUUAACGUGAGGGGAACAUAACGACAGGGCACCCAGCAGAAGGAGUUAAAAUCAGAUGGACAGAGCUCUUUAUUGCAAAUUCCAAAGUAAAAAGAUGUACAGUACAAAGGAACUCAAUGUUCAGACACGGAGCGCCCGUCCCACUGCUCUCCCCGGAGGCAUUCCUCCUCCCUCCCACCCCAGCCAGUUCCAUCCUCCUCCUCCUUUCUUCAUGUAAAACAGCAGAGAAUAAAACUUGGAGGUGAUAGGGGGAGACGAAGCGGGGAGCAGAGUGAAGGCACCAACUUUAACCAGAGACCUACAAAUAUUCAACAUUUCUAUCUGAUGAAUAAUUUGGACCAAAACUCCACUAGGAGAACUGAUUAUUACACGGUGCUCCCUCGGCCCUUUGCCUUGCAACAACUCCAGUCAUCGCGUUAACAUCGAACCAAACCAAACAAGACCUUGGAGGAAGGAUGGAGAGGACAAGCAGGCAAAUAACUCGGACACCGAGACAACCCGACCUUUUACAGUGAAAAGGUAACAAAUGAACCAAAAAGGGAGGACUUGGACACGGAGGGAGGGAAGAGAGCUACUUGCUGUAGUCUUGGCUUUUUGGCUACGUCCUUUCCAUUGACAACAACACCCUCAGCUUUGUUCCCAUAACCCUGAAUCUGGAAUAUAA